GUAGGUGGCAAGCGUUGUCCGGAAUUAUUGGGCGUAAAGCGCGCGCAGGCGGGUCCUUUAAGUCUGAUGUGAAAGCCCACGGGCUCAACCGUGGAGGGUCAUUGGAAACUGGGGGACUUGAGUACAGAAGAGGAAAGCGGAAUUCCAAGUGUAGCGGUGAAAUGCGUAGAGAUUUGGAGGAACACCAGUGGCGAAGGCGGCUUUCUGGUCUGUAACUGACGCUGAGGCGCGAAAGCGUGGGGAGCAAAUAGGAUUAGAUACCCUGGUAGUCCACGCCGUAAACGAUGAGUGCUAAGUGUUAGGGGGUUUCCGCCCCUUAGUGCUGCAGCUAACGCAUUAAGCACUCCGCCUGGGGAGUACGGCCGCAAAGGCUG
rnacentral:rRNA from 1 species